CCGUGGUGAGUUACCAUGCAAUUCAAUCUUUGGAUCACACAAUAUCCCAAACAGGCCAUGGCCAUGGAAUCAUGUCAAGCCCAAAUAUCUAUCUAUAUUUAUCUCGAUCUGAUGAUGAUAACUCGAUUGAUGAACUAGUAGAAAUCUUUUCUAUUGCUCAUCCUUACUCUGGGCAGAGACUCUCAAAGAUCAUUCUGUGAGAUCACAUAGGAUGUUCUCUCCUCCUACAAUAAGUGACCAUUUUUAUAUUGACCACUCACAACCUCC
rnacentral:lncRNA from 1 species